GACGAACGCUGGCGGCGUGCCUACUACAUGCAAGUAGAAAGCAGUUGCGAACGGGUGAGUAACGCGUAGGUAAAUGCCUCAUAGCGGGGGAUAACUAUUGGAAACGAUAGGUAAUACAGCAUACUGUGAGAGGGACAUGCGUUGUAUUAGCUAGAUGGUGAGGUAAAGGCUAACCAAGGCGACGAUACAUAGCCGACCUGAGAGGGUGAUCGGCCACACUGGGACUGAGACACGGCCCAGACUCCUUCGGGAGGCAGCAGUAGGGAAUCUUCGGCAAUGGACGGAAGUCUGACCGAGCAACGCCGCGUGAGUGAAGAAGGUUUUCGGAUCGUAAAGCUCUGUUGUUAGAGAAGCGGUAACUACCCAGAAAGGGACGGCUAACUACGUACCAGCAGCCGCGGUAAUAC
rnacentral:rRNA from 1 species